AUGGUGUUUUUUUUUUUUUUUUGGACAAUCUCCUUUCUCUUCUGCAGCUCCCUCUGCUUCGGGCUCUGCCACGCCCUGCGGCGUGAGCCGGUGAGGUGGUUCGGCCGAGGUGGCGGCGGGCUCAGCGCGUUCGGAUUGGGACGGCGUCUCUUCGGCUACGGCCAUUCCGAGGAGACGCGGCGGUGGCAGCGGCGGCGGCCGCCGGACUGUCAUGGAGACGACACUGCAGUAGUUCGAGGCAACCGAUCUAUCAAUGCUGGAUGAAAAGGAACUCAUUCAUAUGCUAAUUGAGAAGGUAGGCAAUAAAAGGUUUUAUUCAAGACUCAAGGGCCAUUGCUCAAGCGCUGAUGCGAUUAGAUGAUGAGAAUAUGUGGGAAGUAAUGGUAGGCGUUUGGAUUGAGAUGCUGUGUUUCUCUGCUGGACUGGAGACAUAUGCAGAGAGGCAGCAGAGAGUGCAUCAUUGUCUCAAGAAAGAGAAGAGAGUGAAAAUUGCAAAGAGAAGAAUUCGCAAAAAGGAGGCAAGUAACAAGCUACUACAUCGGCUUCACAGGGUGAAUGCGUUGCCCCAGUUCCAGCGAUGAGUAUUAUUGUUGUUUCACCCUAAGAGCAAACAGUACACCCUUGUGAUAUACUAAAAGCAAGGUGAUGUAUAUUCAGUUUCAGUGUUCCUCGGCUCCCCCACGCGCUGACUGCUGCGUGCGGGUAAGUGUAACAUUCCAUAUUCGGUCAUUUUGUUUCAUGUCUCAACAGCUGAGUUUACAGCCAAAAGUUUCAGACUUAUCUUCAUUUUAGUUGGCUAACAGUAACUCUACUCUAAGUAUGUUCCUUCAAAUAUGUAACAAGAUGACGUGUUUUAGGUGUUCUUUUGAAUGUCUGGCUGACUGACCAACUGAUUAGUUGUAAUAUAAUGGAUGAUCCAACCGAAAGUUGUAGAUCCCUUUGACAUCCAUGAAUA